rnacentral:sRNA from 1 species
AGAUUGGAAAGGAGAGAGCUUGACUGCUAGAUCUCAGGUUGUAUCAUAGGAAUGGUGAAUUCUACCAAAUAUCUGGCUGGGUAGCUGCCCUCGUCAAGUGGAACAUGUAACCAUCAAACUGAAGCAUGAAUUGGGGAUUACAGCUGUAAUGAAUUUCCAGACCGAAUGGGAUAUUGUACAGAAUUCCUCAGGCUGUAACCGCUACCCAGAGCCCAUGACUCCAGACACUAUGAUUAAACUAUAUAGGGAAGAAGGCUUGGCCUACAUCUGGAUGCCAACACCAGAUAUGAGCACUGAAGGCCGAGUGCAGAUGCUGCCCCAAGCGGUGUGCCUGCUGCAUGCGCUGCUGGAGAAGGGACACAUUGUGUACGUGCACUGCAACGCUGGGGUGGGCCGCUCCACCGCGGCUGUCUGCGGCUGGCUCCAGUAUGUGAUGGGCUGGAAUCUGAGGAAGGUGCAGUAUUUCCUCAUGGCCAAGAGGCCGGCUGUCUACAUUGAUGAAGAGGCCUUGGCCCGGGCACAAGAAGAUUUUUUCCAGAAAUUUGGGAAGG